UUUUACUGUCUCCGGACGGUUACACCACACAACACUUUUUACUUCAAGCAUUAAAAAAAGAAAAAUAUCAAAAUGACUUAAACUCAAAUUGAAAACAUGUGCAUCAUAGUAGAGGUGUAGUAGAGGUGUAUUCAUCACAGUAGAGGUGUAUUCAUCAUAGUAGAGGUGUAGUAGAGGUGUAUUCAUCACAGUAGAGGUGUAGUAGAGGUGUAUUCAUCACAGUAGAGGUGUAUUCAUCAUAGUAGAGGUGUAUUCAUCAUAGCAGAGGUGUAUUCAUCAUAGUAGAGGUGUAUUCAUCACAGUAGAGGUGUAGUAGAGGUGUAUUCAUCACAGUAGAGGUGUAUUCAUCACAGUAGAGGUGUAUUCAUCAUAGUAGAGGUGUAGUAGAGGUGUAUUCAUCACAGUAGAGGUGUAUUCAUCAUAGUAGAGGUGUAUUCAUCACAGUAGAGGUGUAGUAGAGGUGUAUUCAUCAUAGUAGAGGUGUAUUCAUCAUAGUAGAGGUGUAUUCAUCACAGUAGAGGUGUAGUAGAGGUGUAUUCAUCAUAGUAGAGGUGUAGUAGAGGUGUAUUCAUCAUAGUAGAGGUGUAUUCAUCACAGUAGAGGUGUAGUAGAGGUGUAUUCAUCAUAGUAGAGGUGUAUUCAUCACAGUAGAGGUGUAGUAGAGGUGUAUUCAUC